CAUGAGCCAAAUCUCUGUCCAGUUUGUUUUCAAAGUGGAUCCUGCAGCUCCGUCCUGCACAGCAGGUGAAUAUCUGCCCAGGUUUCUGCCUCCAACUCCUGAACAUGGAGCUCAGUUCUUCAUAGACGUUAAUGAGAUGAUAGAAAUCAACAUCAGAGCAGAGGCGACUCAGUCUGAGAUCACUGAGCUGCUGUUCAGCGG